CCUACGGGAGGCAGCAGUGGGGAAUAUUGCACAAUGGGGGAAACCCUGAUGCAGCGACGCCGCGUGAGUGAAGAAGUAUUACGGUAUGUAAAGCCCUAUCAGCAGGGAAGAAAUAGCGACCUUUGGGUCGCCAGACGGUACCUGACUAAGAAGCCCCGGGUAACUACGUGCCAGCAGCCGCGGUAAUACGUAGGGGGCACGCGUUAUCCGGGUUUACUGGGGGGAAAGGGAGCGGAGAGGGCGGCAAAAGGCUGAAGGUAAAAGCCGGGGGCUAACACCGGAACGGCGUUGGAAACAGGGCAGCUAGAGUGCAGGAGAGGUAAGUGGAAUUCCUAGUGUAGCGGUGAAAUGCGUAGAUAUUAGGAGGAACACCAGUGGCGAAGGCGGCUUACUGGAUUGUAACUGACGUUGAGGCUCGAAAGCGUGGGGAGCGAACAGGAUUAGAUACCCCUGUAGUC
rnacentral:rRNA from 1 species